rnacentral:lncRNA from 1 species
GUUUGGGGAGAUGUUUUCUGGGUCCUUCCUGAUAUCUAUUCUUAUAUCAGUUUAGAGCCUAGCAGGAAACAUGUGGCACACUCACAUGUCACUGAGGAACUCUUAACUUUUUUGGCAAAUGUAUCUGAAACAUAGAGGUAAGAAUAGAGGCUAAUAUAAAAACAUGCAUGUUCCAAUUACCGAGCUUUAUUAAA